GCUGGGCGUGGUGGUGCACGCCUGUAAUCCCAGUUACUCGGGAGGCUGAGACAGGAGAAUCGCUUGAACCCGGGAAGUGGAGGCUGCAGUGAGCCGAGAUCGCGCCAUUGCACUCCAGCCUGGGCGAGAGAGUGAGACUCUGUCUCAA
rnacentral:SRP_RNA from 1 species